AGCGAACGCUGGCGGCAGGCUUAACACAUGCAAGUCGAGCGGGCGUAGCAAUACGUCAGCGGCAGACGGGUGAGUAACGCGUGGGAACGUACCUUUUGGUUCGGAACAACACAGGGAAACUUGUGCUAAUACCGAAUAAGCCCUUACGGGGAAAGAUUUAUCGCCGAAAGAUCGGCCCGCGUCUGAUUAGCUAGUUGGUGAGGUAACGGCUCACCAAGGCGACGAUCAGUAGCUGGUCUGAGAGGAUGAUCAGCCACAUUGGGACUGAGACACGGCCCAAACUCCUACGGGAGGCAGCAGUGGGGAAUAUUGGACAAUGGGCGCAAGCCUGAUCCAGCCAUGCCGCGUGAGUGAUGAAGGCCCUAGGGUUGUAAAGCUCUUUUGUGCGGGAAGAUAAUGACGGUACCGCAAGAAUAAGCCCCGGCUAACUUCGUGCCAGCAGCCGCGGUAAUACGAAGGGGGCUAGCGUUGCUCGGAAUCACUGGGCGUAAAGGGUGCGUAGGCGGGUCUUUAAGUCAGGGGUGAAAUCCUGGAGCUCAACUCCAGAACUGCCUUUGAUACUGAAGAUCUUGAGUUCGGGAGAGGUGAGUGGAACUGCGAGUGUAGAGGUGAAAUUCGUAGAUAUUCGCAAGAACACCAGUGGCGAAGGCGGCUCACUGGCCCGAUACUGACGCUGAGGCACGAAAGCGUGGGGAGCAAACAGGAUUAGAUACCCUGGUAGUCCACGCCGUAAACGAUGAAUGCCAGCCGUUAGUGGGUUUACUCACUAGUGGCGCAGCUAACGCUUUAAGCAUUCCGCCUGGGGGAGUACGGUCGCAAGAAUUAAACUCAAAGGAAUUGACGGGGGCCCGCACAAGCGGUGGAGCAUGUGGGUUAAUUCGACGCAACGCGCAGAAACUUUACAGCCCUUGACAUCCCCGUCGCGGACUCCAAAAAUGGAGUUCUUCAGUUCGGCUGGACCGA
rnacentral:rRNA from 1 species